GGUAAUACGUAGGGGGCAAGCGUUGUUCGGAAUUACCUGGGCGUAAAGGGAGCGUAGGUGCGAAAGUGAGUUAGGAGUGUAAUACGCAGGCUUAACCUGCGGCUCGCUUCUAAUACUGCUUUUCUUGAGUAUGGGAGAGGGAGACGGAAUUCCAGGUGUAACGGUGGAAUGCGUAGAUAUCUGGAAGAACAUCAGUUGCGAAGGCGGUCUCCUGGCCCAAUACUGACACUGAGGCUCGAAAGCUAGGGGAGCAAACAGGAUUAGAUACCCUGGUAGUCCUAGCCGUAAACGAUGGACACUAGAUGUUGGGGGAGUUAUUCCUUCAGUGUCGUAGCUAACGCGUUAAGUGUCCCGCCUGGGGAGUACGCUCGCAAGGGUGAAACUCAAAGGAAUUGACGGGGGCCCGCACAAGCGGUGGAGCAUGUGCUUUAAUUCGAUGCAACGCGAAGAACCUUACCUGGGCUUGACAUGGGAGUGAAAUCCCGUAGAGAUACGGGACUUUCCUUCGGGAACACUCCACACAGGUGCUGCAUGGUUGUCGUCAGCUCGUGUCGUGAGAUGUUGGGUUAAGUCCCGCAACGAGCGCAACCCUCGCCCUUAGUUGCCAGCGGGUAAUGCCGGGAACUCUAGGGGGACUGUCUGGUACAACCAGGAGGAAGGUGGGGAUGACGUCAAAUCAUCAUGGCCCUUACGCCCAGGGCUAGACACGUGCUACAAUGGCUGGUACAACGGGCUGCAAGCUCGCGAGAGCAAGCCAAUCCCUAAAAACCAGCCUCAGUUCAGAUUGGAGUCUGCAAUUCGACUUCAUGAAGGUGGAAUCGCUAGUAAUCGCGGAUCAGCAUGCCGCGGUGAUACGUUCCCGGGCCUUGUACACACCGCCCGUCAAGCCACGAAAGAUGGUAGUACCCGAAGUCGCUACUCUAACCCGCAAGGGAGGAGGGCGCCGAAGGUAAGAUCCUGACUUGGGCGAAGUC
rnacentral:rRNA from 1 species